CCUACGGGGGGCAGCAGUGAGGAAUAUUGGUCAAUGGGCGUAAGCCUGAACCAGCCAAGUCGCGUGAGGGAUGAAGGUUCUAUGGAUCGUAAACCUCUUUUAUAAGGGAAUAAAGUGCGGGACGUGUCCCGUUUUGUAUGUACCCUAUGAAUAAGGAUCGGCUAACUCCGUGCCAGCAGCCGCGGUAAUACGGAGGAUCCGAGUGUUAUCCGGAUUUAUUGGGUUUAAAGGGUGCGUAGGCGGCCUUUUAAGUCAGCGGUGAAAGUCUGUGGCUCAACCAUCGAAAAGCCGUUGAAACUGGGUGGCUUGAGUGGGUUUGAGGCAGGCGGAAUGCGUGGUGUAGCGGUGAAAUGCAUAGAUAUCACGCAGAACCCCGAUUGCGAAGGCAGCAUGCCAGGCCAUGACUGACGCUGAGGCACGAAAGCGUGGGGAUCGAACAGGAUUAGAUACCCGGGUAGUC
rnacentral:rRNA from 1 species